rnacentral:rRNA from 1 species
GAUGAACGCUGGCGGCGUGCCUAAUACAUGCAAGUCGAGCGAACGGACGAGAAGCUCGCUCUUUUGAUGUUAGCGGCGGACGGGUGAGUAACACGUGGAUAACCUACCUAUAAGACUGGGAUAACUUCGGGAAACCGGAGCUAAUACCGGAUAAUAUUUUGAACCGGAUGGAUCAAAAGUGAAAGACGGCCUUGCUGUCACUUAUAGCUGGAUCCGCGCUGCAUUAGCUAGUUGGUAAGGUAACGGCUUACCAAGGCAACGAUGCGUAGCCGACCUGAGAGGAUGAUCGGCCACACUGGAACUGAGACACGGUCCAGACUCCUACGGGAGGCAGCAGUAGGGAAUCUUCCGCAAUGGGCGAAAGCCUGACGCAGCAACGCCGCGUGGGUGAUGAAGGUCUUCGGGUCGUAAAGCUCUUUUAUUAGGGAAGAACAUAUGUGUGAUUAUCUGUGCACAUCUUGACGGUACCUAAUCAGAAAGCCCCGGCUAACUUCGUG